GAUCCCGUAGCUCAGUUGGAUAGAGCGGCGGUUUCCUAAACCGCAGGCCACAGGUUCGAUUCCUGUCGGGGUCA
rnacentral:tRNA from 7 species